rnacentral:rRNA from 1 species
GGCGGACGGGUGAGUAACGCGUGGGUAACGUGCCUCAUACAGGGGGAUAACAGUUGGAAACGGACUGCUAAUACCGCAUAAGCGCACAGUACCGCAUGGUACGGUGUGAAAAACUCCGGUGGUAUGAGAUGGACCCGCGUCUGAUUAGGUAGUUGGUGGGGUAACGGCCUACCAAGCCGACGAUCAGUAGCCGACCUGAGAGGGUGACCGGCCACAUUGGGACUGAGACACGGCCCAA